GGGAUUGCCUUAGUAACGGCGAGUGAAGCGGCAACAGCUCAAAUUUGAAAUCUAGCUCUGUCCCGGAGCUCGAGUUGUAAUUUGCAGAGGGCGCUUCGGCGUUGGCCAUGGCCUAAGUUCCUUGGAACAGGACGUCACAGAGGGUGAGAACCCCGUACGUGGCCGCUAGUCUUCGCCAUGUGAAGCCCCUUCGACGAGUCGAGUUGUUUGGGAAUGCAGCUCUAAAUGGGAGGUAUAUUUCUUCUAAAGCUAAAUACUGGCCAGAGACCGAUAGCGCACAAGUAGAGUGAUCGAAAGAUGAAAAGCACUUUGGAAAGAGAGUCAAAAAGCACGUGAAAUUGUUGAAAGGGAAGCGCUUGCAGCCAGACUUGCCUGCGGUUGCUCAUCCGGGCCUCUAGCCUGGUGUACUCUACCGCAGGCAGGCCAGCAUCGGUUCGGGCGGUCGGAUAAAGGCCCUGGGAAUGUAGCUCCCUCCGGGGAGUGUUAUAGCCUAGGGUGCAAUGCGGCCAGCCUGGACCGAGGUCCGCGCUCAUGCUAGGAUGCUGGCGUAAUGGCCGCAAGCGGCCCGUCUUGAAACACGGACCAAGGAGUCUAACAUCUAUGCGAGUGUUUGGGUGUCAAGCCCAAGCGCGUAAUGAAAGUGAACGGAGGUGGGAACCCUUCCCGGGUGCACCAUCGACCGAUCCUGAUGUCUUCGGAUGGAUUUGAGUAAGAGCAUGGCUGUUGGGACCCGAAAGAUGGUGAACUAUGCCUGAAUAGGGUGAAGCCAGAGGAAACUCUGGUGGAGGCUCGCAGCGGUUCUGACGUGCAAAUCGAUCGUCAAAUUUGGGCAUAGGGGCGAAAGACUAAUCGAACU
rnacentral:rRNA from 1 species